GACGUAGGGUGCGAGCGUUGUCCGGAUUUAUUGGGCGUAAAGCGCGCGCAGGCGGUCCCUUAAGUCUGAUGUGAAAGCCCACGGCUCAACCGUGGAGGGUCAUUGGAAACUGGGGGACUUGAGUACAGAAGAGGAAAGCGGAAUUCCACGUGUAGCGGUGAAAUGCGUAGAGAUGUGGAGGAACACCAGUGGCGAAGGCGGCUUUCUGGUCUGUAACUGACGCUGAGGCGCGAAAGCGUGGGGAGCGAACAGG
rnacentral:rRNA from 1 species